CUUUGACACACAUAUAAAGAUUAUUUUUUUCAUAUAUGAACUCCUAUAACCCUUCUAGAAAAUGUAAUUGAAUCUAUUUUUAAGGAUGAAACUAGGAACCUAAGAGAACAGGUAACUGCUAUGCUAUUAUCAUCCACUACUGUGUCAUCAUUCUUUAUGACUUCACCUGUGGUCUGGCAACUCAGAAUAGAAAUACAGAAAAGUGCAUUGAGGAAAUGCUCUUUCUCUGCUGUACCACUUCACAUUCAAGGUAAAAUGUGAACUCAGAGGACUGGGGAAAGCAGUUUAACACCUCUAGAUAUUUUCAUGAUUAAUUCUUGUACCUUAAAAUACAAAUUUCGGCAAUUAAAUGAUUUGCAUUCAGCAAUUAAAUGAAAUUUCAAGUAAGUGUUUUAUUAGCCAAAGAAUUAAAAACUACCUGGUUUUCAUCUUCUUAAGUGGGUCAAAUUCUUGGAGAAGUGGCUGCCUUGGGCAGAGAGAGAUGAUGAAUAUAAAUCAAAUCGAAAUGUAAUAUAACUCGUUCCACUUAAAUGGCUUUUUAGAAAACUUGCUCUGGGUCC
rnacentral:lncRNA from 1 species